rnacentral:rRNA from 1 species
GUGGGGAAUUUUGGACAAUGGGCGCAAGCCUGAUCCAGCAAUGCCGCGUGCAGGAAGAAGGCCUUCGGGUUGUAAACUGCUUUUGUACGGAACGAAACGGUCCUGGCUAAUACCCUGGGCUAAUGACGGUACCGUAAGAAUAAGCACCGGCUAACUACGUGCCAGCAGCCGCGGUAAUACGUAGGGUGCAAGCGUUAAUCGGAAUUACUGGGCGUAAAGCGUGCGCAGGCGGUUUUGUAAGACAGGCGUGAAAUCCCCGGGCUCAACCUGGGAAUUGCGCUUGUGACUGCAAGGCUGGAGUGCGGCAGAGGGGGAUGGAAUUCCGCGUGUAGCAGUGAAAUGCGUAGAUAUGCGGAGGAACACCGAUGGCGAAGGCAAUCCCCUGGGCCUGCACUGACGCUCAUGCACGAAAGCGUGGGGAGCAAACAGGAUUAGAAACCCUGGUAGUCC